rnacentral:rRNA from 1 species
GACGAACGCUGGCGGCGUGCUUAACACAUGCAAGUCGAGCGGUAAGGCCCUUUCGGGGGUACACGAGCGGCGAACGGGUGAGUAACACGUGGGUGACCUGCCCUCAGCUCUGGGAUAAGCCUGGGAAACCGGGUCUAAUACUGGAUAUGACUCCAUGACGCAUGUUGUGGGGUGGAAAGCCUUGUGCGGCUGAGGAUGGGCCCGCGGCCUAUCAGCUUGUUGGUGGGGUGAGGCCUACCAAGGCGACGACGGGUAGCCGGCCUGAGAGGGCGACCGGCCACACUGGGACUGAGACACGGCCCAGACUCCUACGGGAGGCAGCAGCGGGGAAUCUUGCGCAAUGGGCGAAAGCCUGACGCAGCGACGCCGCGUGAGGGAUGACGGCCU